GCCGGUGUAGCUCAGUUGGUAGAGCAGCUGAUUUGUAAUCAGCGGGUCGGGGGUUCAAGUCCCUUCACCGGCU
rnacentral:tRNA from 1 species